GACGAACGCUGGCGGCGUGCUUAACACAUGCAUGUCGAACGGAAAGGCCCGCUUUUGUGGGGUGCUCGAGUGGCGAACGGGUGAGUAACACGUGAGUAACCUGCCCUUGACUUUGGGAUAACUUCAGGAAACUGGGGCUAAUACCGGAUAGGAGCUCCUGCUGCAUGGUGGGGGUUGGAAAGUUUCGGCGGUUGGGGAUGGACUCGCGGCUUAUCAGCUUGUUGGUGGGGUAGUGGCUUACCAAGGCUUUGACGGGUAGCCGGCCUGAGAGGGUGACCGGCCACAUUGGGACUGAGAUACGGCCCAGACUCCUACGGGAGGCAGCAGUGGGGAAUAUUGCACAAUGGGCGGAAGCCUGAUGCAGCAACGCCGCAUGCGGGAUGACGGCCUUCGGGCUGUAAACCGCUUUCGCCUGUGACGAAGCGUGAGUGACGGUAAUGGGUAAAGAAGCACCGGCUAACUACGUGCCAGCAGCCGCGGUGAUACGUAGGGUGCGAGCGUUGUCCGGAUUUAUUGGGCGUAAAGGGCUCGUAGGUGGUUGAUCGCGUCGGAAGUGUAAUCUUGGGGCUUAACCCUGAGCGUGCUUUCGAUACGGGUUGACUUGAGGAAGGUAGGGGAGAAUGGAAUUCCUGGUGGAGCGGUGGAAUGCGCAGAUAUCAGGAGGAACACCAGUGGCGAAGGCGGUUCUCUGGGCCUUUCCUGGCGCUGAGGAGCGAAAGCGUGGGGAGCGAACAGGCUUAGAUACCCUGGUAGUCCACGCUGUAAACGGUGGGUACUAGGUGUGGGGUCCAUUCCACGGGUUCCGUGCCGUAGCUAACGCUUUAAGUACCCCGCCUGGGGAGUACGGCCGCAAGGCUAAAACUCAAAGGAAUUGACGGGGCCCCGCACAAGCGGCGGAGCAUGCGGAUUAAUUCGAUGCAACGCGUAGAACCUUACCUGGGUUUGACAUGGAUCGGGAGUGCUCAGAGAUGGGUGUGCCUCUUUUGGGGUCGGUUCACAGGUGGUGCAUGCCUGUCGUCAGCUCGUGUCGUGAGAUGUUGGGUUAAGUCCCGCAACGAGCGCAACCCUUGUUCACUGUUGCCAGCACGUUAUGGUGGGGACUCAGUGGAGACCGCCGGGGUCAACUCGGAGGAAGGUGGGGGUGACGUCAAGUCAUCAUGCCCCUUAUGUCCAGGGCUUCACGCAUGCUACAAUGGCUGGUACAGAGAGUGGCGAGCCUGUGAGGGUGAGCGAAUCUCGGAAAGCCGGUCUCAGUUCGGAUUGGGGUCUGCAACUCGACCUCAUGAAGUCGGAGUCGCUAGUAAUCGCAGAUCAGCAACGCUGCGGUGAAUACGUUCCCGGG
rnacentral:rRNA from 1 species